ensembl:lncRNA
ACUUAAUGUAGAUGACGGAGUGAUAGAUGCAGCAAACCACCAUGGCACGUGUAUACCUGUGUAACAAACCCGCAUACUCUGCUCAUGUACCCCAGAACUUAAAGUAAAAAAAAUAUGUUCAUUUAUUUAACGUAGAUAAUAACCCUGUGAGAUAGUACCACUGCCACCCCCAUUCUACAGAUAAGGGAAAUGAGACCCAGACAGGUAUAGUAAAUAAGCAGAUAAGGGAUGGAACACAGAGUCAAACCCAGGAAAUCUGACUCUAAAAUUCAGUUUCACUGACUACCUUCUGCUGCUUCUUCUCAGUGUUGCUUGGGUGACAAAACCCCAGGAAAUCAAUGGCUGACGCUGUCCGAGUUGGAGCCAAUUGACCAGCAACAGCCAGUUUGGGGACCUAGAAUACACAGACCAGGAAAGAGGCAUCCUGGUGCCAUGUGUCAGUUUGCUGAGAAUGAUGGUUUCCAGCUUCAUCCAUGUCCCUGCAAAGGAUAUGAACUCAUCCAUUUUUAUGGCUGCAUAGUAUUCCAUGGUGUAUAUGUGCCACAUUUUCUUUAUCCAGUCUAUCAUUGACGGGCAUUUGGGUUGGUUCCAUGUCUUUGCUAUUGUGAACAGUGUUGCAAUAAACAUAUGUGUGCAUGUGUCUUUAAAAUGGAAUGUUUUAUAAUACUUCGGGUAUACACCCAGUAACAAGAUUGCUAGGUCAAAUGGUAUUUCCAUUUCUAGAUCCUUGAGGAAUCGCCACAACGUCUUACACAAUGGUUGAACUAAUUUACAAUCCCACCAACAGCGUUAAACUGUUCCUGUUUCUCCACAUCCUCUCCAGCAUCUAUUGUUUCCUGACAUUUUAAUGAUCACCAUUCCAACUGACAUGAGAUGGUAUCUCAUUGUAGUUUUGAUUUCCAUUUCUCUAAUGACCAGUGAUGAUGAGCUUUUUUUCAUGUUUCUUGGCCAUAUAAAUGUCUUCAUUUGAGAUGUGUUGUUCAUAUCCUUUGCCUACUUUUUGAUGGGGUUGUUUGCUUGUUUUUCUUGUAAAUUUGUUUAAGUUCCUUAUAGAUUCUGGAUAUUAGUCCUUUGUCAAAUGAAUAGAUUAUGAAAAUUUUCUCCUAUUCUGUAGUUUAUUCACUCUGAUGAUAGUUUCUUUUGCUGUGCAGAAGCUCUUUAGUUUAAUUAGAUCCUAUUUAUCAAUUUUGGCUUUUGUUGCCAUAAGCAUGCUUUUUCUUAAAUAAAAAAGCCAAUCACACCCAAAAUAGUAAAUUAAAUGAAUACCUAUUGGGUAUUUUCAGUGUACUGAGUAGAGUAUCAAGUAUGAAACUCUCUAGACAAGGAACAGUGGAUCUCAUCUCUAGUCUUGAAUUUCUACCUAUGUUACUGUAAGCAAGUUAUAUAAGAUUCAGUUCCUUGGUCACUUUAUCUGUUA